AUUUUAUAAUCAAUAAGAGUUUAUAUGAUGUGAUUAAUUUAACUUAUUUUGGAUACUUACAGUAGAACACGAUGAACUGAGUCAUACCUAUAAUCAUAAUACUCUAUUACCUAUAAAAACAGCUUACAGUGACUAGCUAAGUAUCAAAUUAUAUCCCACAUCAGAUGAAUUUAACACAUAAAUUCUGUUAAUACCUGCUACAAAAUUGUAAGCUGUUUUUUCAAUACAAAUUUUUCCAUACAGGUGUGUUUUCUGACUUCAUUUCAUUCAGUCUGUAGACAUACAAACCGUAGAAUACUUUUUAAAUUUCUUUUUAAAAUCUUCUUCUUACUGACAAUGCACUAGGAGGAACUAUAAAUGCAUUAUGUAUAUGUAUACUUCAUAUCUGAGGAUAAGCACAGAUCAAUAAACACUGAUACUAGUUCUACAUUACCAAGUCAGAAAUUAUUUUGCACUAUUUUUGUUGAGUAACACUAUAGUGUGUAAUAUGCACGUGUAUACACAUACAUGCAUCUAACAAUGCAUAUACAUUUUCAUUCGCAGUCUUUAUUUCACAUAAAAGACAAUAUGAAUUCUUCAGCCUUACUCAGACUUACUUGAGGAACCAUAUUGUAUAUUGUCCUAACAAUACCUGUGAAGAUUUUGUCCUAAGAAAUUCCCUUGUUUUUCCUAUAUUAGCAGUACCAGAUCCCCUCUAAAUGUAAUGCAGUUGGGUGUUUCUUUUUUUAUUCCAAUGCCUGUUUAGUUAAUUUUAUUUUACUGUCUUCAGCUUGCAUAGCAUUAGUACAAGAGCGACAUAACUAAAAGUCAUUAAAAUGUUUCUUUACAUUUCAGGAAACACAAUAGUUGAAACCCUUAUCCUAAUGAAUUCUGGCCCUGAAUUCUAUCGAAUCAGGAUUCUGUUAACUAACUUCUUGGUAAUGUAGUUUUUGGAAUAUAUGCUUACAGGAGACAGUCUUCUAUUCAGCAACAUUUCAUCCUUAUCUUUGCUUCCUGAUGCUAACUGAAUUGAAGCAAAAGCAGGAAACUGGGCCUUUUGCUUUUCCAAUAGAUGUAUGUGAUGCAGCAGAUAGUUACAAUCAGAUUGAAGACUAUAUUUCAGCUGUCAAAUCUUUCCCAUUAGGACUCAUGAGAAUGAUUUCCGAGAUUGUCGAAGCCCUAAAUUGCUACUGAAUGACCUGAAUAUUCUUAAUUUUUCUCCCAGAAUAAAUAAUGUGAUUCUUUUGUACAAAGUGGGAAAGGUUCCACAAUUUUAGUGGCAUUUUGAAAAGAGGUACAUCUGAUUAAAUGAAAAAGGCUAUGUGUUGGAUUUCACUUUGUUUUGCAAUUUCAGAAUAUCUGAAAUAUUUUUGUAUAGUUUGUAAGAGUUUCAUGCUGUUCCUAGGGUGUAGUUCAUUGUCCUAAAGUAUGCUUUUAGCUAUCAGUAUUAAAAUUGCUACAAAACUUUGAAGAGCGCAAUGGAAUAAUUACCUUUGUGAGUAAAGCGCCUAUAAAGGCAAGAUGAAUCAACGAGCUUAAGCUACAUGUUCCAAUAAGAUUUCUUUUUUUUCUUUUCUUCUUUUAUAAUAAAAGCUUGUAAGAAUCCUAGAACCUCUGAUUCAACAACUUUAAGCUUAAGGCAGGCCCAUUCAGAAAGCAAUUAAAGAUGCCAUGGGUAGAGGGCUUUGUGAGGCAUUUUCUGCUUACUCCUUCAUGCAAAAGGCGUCUCCCAGCACUGUUUCCACUAAAUAUUUGACUUUAAACCCUCUUUUAUUAUUUAAAAAAUCCAAAACUUUAAAGCUGUGCAGAUUUGAGAUACUUAAAUAGGAUGUUCUCCUGCAUCCUGAAAAAAAGUCUGUCUGAAGUUAUAGUAGAUCAGGAUUAUCUUGGUGGAAUGGCACUUGGUUUUAAACAAUGUAUUUUCUGUAAUUUUGUUAUGACUUUUUUUCACAUACACAGAAUACAACUUAUACAGUACCGAUAUCUAGAAUGCUACUUUGCUUAGUUUAUCUAGAGUUGAUACCUUUUUGUAUUUAACAUACGGCCAUUCUUAUAUUACUGUACCUUUCUGCUCACUGUAUCAUUAGCACAAAAAAAGAAGAAAAGGUCUCUGAAUUCCUUUUAUUUCUAGUUUCCAGAAAGACUCUAAGCAUCUUUAGGAUCUGAAUGAUACCUUUCUGGCUAUGUUCUGUCAUUGCAGCUGUAGACUUGGAAAGUUCUUUAUUUUUUAGUUCUGCUUACUACAAAUUUUGGAAUUUAAGGCCUACAGUUCUUCAGAAGUUUGAGCAUCUUAUUACGAUCAGAUUUGUUAGGAUAUCACAGGCCUUUUCAAAGUUUGGAUUAGGAAUUAGUAUCUGCCUUGGAGACUAUUGUGGUUUGUUUUAAUUCUUAACUAGUCUACAUUUGUCUUCUAAAUGUACUUCUGAAAUUUAAACACUUUGUAUCAUGAAGGCGGCUAUGGUUGCAUGAUUUUUGAUAACACAUCUCUGUUAAAUAUUUAAAUGGUUAUUUCAUACAUAGAGUUUUGAAACCCCAGUUGUUUAAAUAAGUCUCUACCUUGAGAAAAUAUUUCAGAAAAAUUUUCAUAAUCAUCAGUGAAAUAACAAGUAAAUACAACAGUCUUGCCAAAGAAUUAAAUGCUGGCUGCAGAAGCUAUGUAAGUAUCCUAAUGAGUUGAAUGAGGAAAAAAUACCUCUUGGAAGUUAAAUAUUUUAUUUUAAUUAUUUAUUUAUUGAGUGGCAUCUUCAAGUAAAUUCAUGCACAACUCAUAAUGUAACAAGACUAGACGUUCAGAAAUUUUUGAAGUGAAUCAGUGUGGCUCACUGUUUUUUCUGUUGAUUGGAGCAGUUGUAGAGGUAAUAAGAGUGAUUGCAAUAAGAAAGUCUUGACAUAAAAUAGCUGCUAAAAUGUGUUAAGGAAAAGUCUGCCAACUAGAAAGCUGAACCUGAGAGCUAGAAACCUUGAGGUACGACUGAACAUCUCUUAUGGAUGGUACCCUGAACAUACUACUCCAUUGUUAAGACCAAAUAGAGGAAGGGAGGAAUGUUUUAUCACCUAAGGAAGGGGAGAUCAGUGUGAGGAAUAAACUUUAGAUGAAAUAAGAAAUAUUAUCUAUAGACUGUAUCAGGAAGAGGACCUAAACUAACAGGACCAAUUUUUUACCUAAGCAGUGGUGUCCUACUAAAAUAACGAUUUUUACACAAGAUGGAGCUUCCUUCUGAGAAACUUCCAGUGCUCUAUGUUCUGUUUCUUUGUCCUGGUUUCUUUUUUUUUUCCUUAAACAGGCUGAAGUUUCACUGAAACUUUGGUUUGACCAUGUGCCUUGACAGCAUUGACUCCAAAACUCUAACACUCCAUGCCUGGUGAUACUGAUCAGUGUUGAAUUGUAACAGAAAUGCUAAGUCAUGGUCUGAAACAGUGACUGAGUACCUGGUGGGAAAGCAGGACCAACCCAGAGGAACUCAGGUGCAUGCAAUGAACCUGAGUAACCAGAAGGAGUGCAUCCUGGCUCCACCCCUUCCCAGACCUCAUUUAAAGGUUGGAAGUGGAGGUGAGAGUGUUUUGCUGGAGAUCUUUCCCUAUCUGAGGCCUUCUGAAGGACCAGAAGAACAGAGGCAUUGGAAGCCAAGUCUGCACAACACAGAGUGGGACACAUGGAGAACCUUGCUAUACAGCACAUCUAGACUCUUUUCAGUAGUGCCCAGUACCAGGACAAGAAGUGAGCGAAAACUGGAACAUAGGAGUUUCCAUCUCAACUGUCAUCUAUGAUUCUGUGAUCUGGAAGAAAUUAUGAUACUUGCAGAAAUGGAAAAGCAGUAAGGCUUGGCACCAGACUCCAGUGAAAUGAACAGAUUCCAGGUGAACAUGAUGAGAACACAAUCUAACAAACAGCCAUGCUUUGGCUGCCUGCUCUGAUAGCAGCAGCUGCUUGGAAAACUAAGCUGCUUCACAAUUGAAAGAGUGUUGAAAGAAAUAUUUUUCAAAAUCAAGAGUGGAGGAUUUAUCAGUCCAGACUCGGAGAAUAUAGUGCAUGUUGUCCAGCUGUCACAUCACAAAGCUGAGAAGAAGACAUGCAAAAUGAAGAUGUAGGCACAAAGGCUGAAGGCAGAUGGGACCUGUAGUGAACUGCUGUGCUUGUGUUUCUUUCUGUUACUAAAAGGAAUUUGUUACGCUAGUGAUUUUAAAUGAUUUGUGGCUGACAGUUUUAGGUUUAAUAAUAGUAAACCAGACAACAUCUGGCAUGGUGAAAUAAAAUUAUUUGAUAUGUAACUUAGCUCACACCCCCAACACACACACACAAAUGAAAAUUAAUGUGCAAAUAAGAAACUUUUUUUGAAGUACAUAUUGAGCCAUCAUUUUUAAUGGAUAACAGAAGAACAUGGGAUGAAGAUUUUUUCCUGAAGUUUUAUUACAUAAUUAAUCCAAAUUUCUUUGUGUAAUUUGGAAGCUUAUAAUGAGAACAGGUAUUAUUCCUCCCCAGAUAUUACCAUCUUUUAAAGAUUUUUUUUAAUAUUUGUGUUAGUAUUAUGGUUAUUUCUGCUUUAGUUCUUCUUCUGAUGCCUUCUUGAAUGGGCAGUGUCAAGGCCAUGUUCAACAAUGGCAAAUCACAAAAAAAUAUUUUUUUCAUAAAGUCAUAAAUUCCUCUUCAUGAACUGCAAAUGAGUCUGUACAUGAAAAUGUGGUGCUCAAAUUCAUUGAUAAUGAGAGUAUACCUCACUGGAGUUUUUACCAUAUUACCUAAAAUGAAUGCGUGCUUUAAGACAUGUGUGAUUGGCUGAAUGACUCUGUAUUUCUGUGUGGCUGUGUGCAUGAAUACACAUGCAUGUGUACAGUUAUUUUAACUGGGAAUGUAAAGGCUCUAGAGGUGAGUCCGAAAUAGCAUAGAAGUCUACUGUUAUUUUGAUUAAAUAAAAUAUUAUUGCUCACAAUAUCUGUGAAAGAUCUUAAAGGUUGCUUGAAGUCAUUUUUAAAUGUUGCGCAUAUUACUUAUUACACUCAACAAGCAUAGCUAAUUGGCAUAACUGAGUACAUGAAUAACAAUAUGUGGCUUAAAACUACAAAAGAAAAGGAAAUUAUAUUUAUUUCCUAUAAAUAAAAUAUUACCUACUAUGUAUUAUUUAUAUUACAUAAAUUUAAACAAUGUAUAAUACAUGAGGAUAAAUUUACUGUAUUUGGAGCAAAAUUAACUGAGCUGUCUCUGAGGACCUUUAUUAAUAUUGCAGAACCAGUAUUAUACUACUGUAUAAUUGAUUUUUGAAGACUAUUUUGCAUAUGUUUUCCUAAAUCACAUCACUUAAGCUAGAAAAUUUUACAUAUCAUGGGCCAGGCAGAUAACACCAUGACAAAGGUGUGUUGUGAAGCAUGAGACAAUGUACUUUAAAAUUC
ensembl:lncRNA